rnacentral:lncRNA from 1 species
GUUCCUUUCACAGUCCUUGGGAGAAGAAUUUUGCCCAUGAGAGGUGUCUCAGGUGCCGACCUUUCUGUGCCUCCCUAGCACAUUCCUGCAUCUAAAUCAGAACUGGUCAAUGUUUCACUCCUCCGCUAUCCUCCCAGCCGUGUCUUCUGAAUCUGGUGAACAAUUAACCGCCAGCAGCCCCUGCUUUUCCAGCUUUCAAUCUUACCUCCUUAGAAGCCUCCCUACAUUUACUGCUAGGUGUCAAUGAUCUACCAAGCUUGAGAAGCACCGGGGCUUCCUCUCCAUUCUUUAAGGAGCCUCUUGCAUAUCGUUUUACAAUGAUCUUGAUGAUACAUGAUUCUUCUCAAGGAAAUAUAUCAUAGGGAAUAACCAAGUCAAAGCACCCACAUUGACUCUUGAAUUGUGUUUUCUGUUGGGAAUUCUUUCAAAGAACUGGAGAAAACGGGCAAAGAUACCAGGCCAGUUCUGCCACUUACAAGCCAGGUGACAUUAGUCAGUUUCUUAACUUCUGUGAGUCUUCUUUUUACACUUAUUAAAUGAGGAGGGUCAUUCUUCCCUCUUAAGUUUAUCAUAUAGACUAAAUGACAGUGUGUACAAAAGUGUUUGGCCCAGACUAGCAACUUAAUCAGUAUUCUUACAUAAGAAACUGUAGUCUAAAGUUCAUAAGAUCAUAGAAUGCUGGACCUAGAAAAUGCCUUGUAAAGCUUGUAUAACUUUAACAAGAGAGGAGGUCCAGAGAAAAAAGUCUGAGAUAUACAUAUUCAAUGACCUUUCAGCCAGUUGGUGGCCUGUAGUCUAGUUCUGCUCUGUCCAUUAGAAAUAUAAUGUAAAAGCCAUACAUGUAAUUUAAAAUUUUCCAGUAAUCACGUUAAAGAAAUAGAAGGUGGUUUAUGCUGGUAAUCCCAGCAACUUGGGAGGCUUAGGUGGGAGGAUCACUUGAAUUUGAGACCACCCUGGGCAACACGGCAAGACCCUAUCUCUACAAAAAUAGUUUUUAAAAAUGAGCUAGGUGUGGUAAUGUGUGCCUGUAGUUCCAUUUUUCUGAGAGGCAGAGGUGGAACUUGAGCCCAGGAGUUCAAGGUUGCAGUGAGCAAUAAUCACACCAUUGCACUCCAGCCUGGGCGACAGAGACCCCAUCUCAAAAAAAAAAAAAAAAA